rnacentral:rRNA from 1 species
GAACCUGAAACCGUGUACGUACAAGCAGUGGGAGCACCUUCGGGUGUGACUGCGUACCUUUUGUAUAAUGGGUCAGCGACUUAUAUUCUGUAGCAAGGUUAACCGUAUAGGGGAGCCGCAGGGAAACCGAGUCUUAACUGGGCGUUAAGUUGCAGGGUAUAGACCCGAAACCCGGUGAUCUAGCCAUGGGCAGGUUGAAGGUUGGGUAACACUAACUGGAGGACCGAACCGACUAAUGUUGAAAAAUUAGCGGAUGACUUGUGGCUGGGGGUGAAAGGCCAAUCAAACCGGGAGAUAGCUGGUUCUCCCCGAAAGCUAUUUAGGUAGCGCCUCGUGAACUCAUCUUCGGGGGUAGAGCACUGUUUCGGCUAGGGGGUCAUCCCGACUUACCAACCCGAUGCAAACUACGAAUACCGAAGAAUGUUAUCACGGGAGACACACGGCGGGUGCUAACGUCCGUCGUGAAGAGGGAAACAACCCAGACCGCCAGCUAAGGUCCCAAAGUCAUGGUUAAGUGGGAAACGAUGUGGGAAGGCACAGACAGCCAGGAUGUUGGCUUAGAAGCAGCCAUCAUUUAAAGAAAGCGUAAUAGCUCACUGGUCGAGUCGGCCUGCGCGGAAGAUGUAACGGGGCUAAACCAUGCACCGAAGCUGCGGCAGCGACACUAUGUGUUGUUGGGUAGGGGAGCG